UAUAGAUUCAGCUUGACGUCAGUGGCACUGACAGGAUCGCAGCUCAGUCAGAGAGCAAAAUUGUUCCUCCCACCACAACAGAGUCACACGGCUUCAGCGUUGUGACUUGUUUGGACUGUCCUGUUCUUUUUUUUUUUCCACAGCUAUCUGGACAUGUUAGGAAGAACUAGAGCAUGCUACACUCCAGCAAAUUGGCCUGAUCAGAAGUGAAAUUGACCCAAACCUCUGGAAGGAAUUUCCUCCGAAUGCAACCCUUGAUGCAUUGUACGCAAUAGCUGCCUGCUGCUCCCGAUCAUUACGGAAGCAAUCUGGCUUUAAUUUAAUGCCUCCUCUGUGUUGAAGAGAGCGCUCAGCAGGUCAUAAAGGCAGUGAAGGCAUCGGAGGAAACGUGAACUGCAAAUUUUCCAUGUGACCCUAACUCUAAAAGAAUCUCCCUUUAACUUUCACCUAAGUCAUUCCCGAGGGUUUACUUCAGUCCAGCUGGAAGAAAGUCUCCAUUUACUGAAAUCACAGAGGGCGGGACUAGGGAUAAUAUCAGCCACGACUUCUGUAAGACACCUGGAUGUGGGAAAAAUUGAGUUUCUGGUAGCCUCCCGCAGCGAGCUUGUAAAUCGGGAAUAUGAGCUUUCCCACUGAACGACGCAACGGGCUCCGCCUGGUCACGAGGAACAAAAGUAUGACCUUUUGAGCUCCUUGAGGAGUUGACAGAUGAAGUUAAUAAACUGAGAAGGGGAAAGGAUUUGUGUAGAAACAUAAGGGCUCAUGAAUGGAAACUAUAACUUGGCUGUAGCUUUACAAGAAUGUAACAAAAAGGCAAUCUGGGAAACCUUCAAACCGAAAUUGGUGUUUUACAACUGGAAGAGAGGCAAGAAAGUUCUUUAAUGACUGGGAUGAAGUCUUACAUUAGUCAAUGUUGUGAUUCACAAAAAAGCACAAGGGGGAAUUCUAACUAGGAUAUAAAAACUGGAAAACAACACAGGGAUUCCCUUUGGUCCAUUUAAUAAUGGUUUCCUGGCAAUCUGGAAAUGGUAUAACUCGUGUGUCAACUCGUUUUCUCGCAUGAAACCAUUCUGAUUCUCAUUUACGGACAGUGCGAAUGCACACAUUUACACAACCGAACAAAGGUUCUGGGGUUUGUACGUUUUUGGUUUUUUUUUGGAAAGAAAUUAAUAAUUUUAUUCAGUGAGGAGACAAAUGGAACAUUUUAAAUUAUAGUAAUGUUUUACAAUGUUACUGUUUUACUGUAUGUUUUGAUCAAACAAAUCCAAAAAUACAAAUAAUAAUAAAAAGUAUGAUUUUACCAACCAAAAAUAGUAAAAAAAUACACCUAAUCUAUGCAUUUAGAGUAUAUUAUGUUAAUGCUAUACUUUUGUGUGUAACGUAAAACACACCUGGGUGAAAAAAAAAAAGUAAUUGUGUGAGUUAAGUCAGUAAGUUGUCCAUGUAUUACAACCGGUCCGGUCCGGUCAUUAUUCACUGUCAGUUCAUAAAAGGUGUUGGCAUUUAUGAGCCAUGACAUAUAGAGUGGUACUGCUCAUAUGCAGCCUUUAAAUGUCACACAACUGGGAUCAUGUCAGACAGGUUUCAUAUACAUUUAAAAGGAUAGUUCACCCAAAAAUGAAAAUUCUGUCAUUAAUUACUCACCCUCGUGUUGUUCCAAACCUAUAAGACUAUUUAAUUAAGAUAUUAUUGAUGAAAUCCGAGAGCUUUCUGACCCUGCAUAGACUGAGAAUAUUUGUUUUCUAUUUGAAACGGUUUGUUUUCACUCUAUAUAGAUAUAUUUUUCAUGUCUGUAAGGCAAGUAUCGAAGAGUUUCGAAGUUUCACGCUCAAGUUCACAGAGACCGAGACGGUAGAAAGCGCAUCCUGUUUGCUCUCAUUAUUUUACAAAAGCGCAACAUUUUGUUAUUGUGAGCGCACACAAAUAAACAGAGUCAUUACAGGUUUGAAAGAUGUAUUACUUUUAUCUGUAUGACCAAAAAUGACGGAGUAUUUUAAGUGCAAGUGACGGCACAGCGCCCCCAUCUGUCAUGCAGUAUAAGUGCACUAGUAUUCAGCUUUCAAACUCCGCACAGAAACUUGAAAAGCGCUCAUUUUUCUAGAUUAACAUUACAUUAAGCUGCCACGUAAAGUUGAUCUUUCAGAUAAAGUGUCAUAUUUGAGGUUGAUGAAUGAUAGAGAGUUUAGACGUCCUGCCCAAUGUACUAUAUUACCACAUAAACAAGCCCUUAACAAUCUGUCCGUCAUGGACUGCGUGAUUUCCUUUGAUUUUUGACUAAUUUUGGUCGACCAAGCCUCUUAUCGUUAUUUUUGUUUUCUUUGCACACAGGAAGUGUUCUUGUAGCUUUAUAACAUUACGGUUGAACCAUUGAUGUUCCAAAUUUGUGUUCCAUGUAUGAAAUGUACGAAGGUCUUACGGUUUGGAAUGACUUGAGGUGCUGUUUAAAUAUGCCGAAGGAGGUUCAAUACCAGGAGCUCGUCCAUGCUGGUCUGGCAUUUUUCCAGAUUGAUGCGUUUGAUGGCAACCUUCUCCUUCCUGGGCACACAGUAGGCA